rnacentral:rRNA from 1 species
GUAUCAAUAAGCGGAGGAAAAGAAACCAACAGGGAUUGCCUCAGUAACGGCGAGUGAAGCGGCAACAGCUCAAAUUUGAAAUCUGGUCCCCCCUGUGGGGGCCCGAGUUGUAAUUUGGAGAGGAUGCUUCGGGCAAGGCUGCGGUCUAACUCGCUUGGAACAGCGGGUCAGAGAGGGUGAGAGUCCCGUCCGGG